CCUACGGGAGGCAGCAGUGGGGGAUAUUGCACAAUGGGGGGAACCCUGAUGCAGCGACGCCGCGUGGGUGAAGGAGCGUUUCGGCGCGUAAAGCCCUAUCGGCAGGGAAGAAGAUGACGGUAACUGACCAAGAAGCCCCGGCUAACUACGUGCCAGAAGCCGCGGUAAUACGUAGGGGGCAAGCGUUAUCCGGAUUUACUGGGUGGAAAGGGGGCGCAGACGGCAAUGCAAGCCAGGCGUGAAAGCCCGGGGCCUAACCCCGGGACUGCUCUUGGAACUGCAUGGCUGGAGUACAGGAGGGGAAGGCGGAAUUCCUAGUGUAGCGGUGAAAUGCGUAGAUAUUAGGAGGAACACCGGUGGCGAAGGCGGCCUGCUGGACUGUGACUGACGUUGAGGCCCGAAGGCGUGGGGAGCAAACAGGAUUAGAUACCCUAGUAGUC
rnacentral:rRNA from 1 species